rnacentral:rRNA from 1 species
UAACGCGUGGGAAUCUGCCCUUAGGUUCGGAAUAACUCAGGGAAACUUGAGCUAAUACCGUAUAAUGACUCCGGUCCAAAGAUUUAUCGCCUAGGGAUGAGCCCGCGUCGGAUUAGCUAGUUGGUGAGGUAAAGGCUCACCAAGGCGACGAUCCGUAGCUGGUCUGAGAGGAUGAUCAGCCACACUGGGACUGAGACACGGCCCAGACUCCUACGGGAGGCACCAGUGGGGAAUAUUGGACAAUGGGCGAAAGCCUGAUCCAGCAAUGCCGCGUGAGUGAUGAAGGCCUUAGGGUUGU